rnacentral:rRNA from 1 species
UACGGGGGGUGCGAGCGUUGUCCGGAAUCACUGGGCGUAAAGGGCGCGCAGGCGGCUUUGUUUGUCAGGCGUGAAAGCCCCGGGCUUAACCUGGGAACUGCGUUUGAUACGGCAGGGCUAGAGUUCGGGAGAGGAGAGUGGAAUUCCCAGUGUAGAGGUGAAAUUCGUAGAUAUUGGGAAGAACACCGGUGGCGAAGGCGGCUCUCUGGACCGAUACUGACGCUGAGGCGCGAAAGCGUGGGGAGCAAACAGG